UGGGUGCCCAGGCGCGAAAACUUUACAAUGCCGGCAACGGCGAUAAGGGGACCUCGAGUGCCAGGUUACAAAUCUGGCUGUCGUGAUGCCUAAAAAGCAUUGCAUAGCAAGGGCCGGGCAAGACCGGUGCCAGCCGCCGCGGUAACACCGGCGGCUCGAGUGGUAACCGUUAUUAUUGGGUCUAAAGGGUCUGUAGCCGGCCGGAUAAGUCUCUUGGGAAAUCUGGCAGCUUAACUGUCAGGCUUUCAGGAGAUACUGUCUGGCUCGAGGCCGGGAGAGGUGAGAGGUACUUCAGGGGUAGGGGUGAAAUCUUGUAAUCCUUGAAGGACCACCAGUGGCGAAGGCGUCUCACCAGAACGGACCUGACGGCAAGGGACGAAAGCUAGGGGCACGAACCGGAUUAGAUACCCGGGUAGUCCUAGCCGUAAACGAUACUCGCUAGGUGUCGGCCACGGUGCGACCGUGGUCGGUGCCGUAGGGAAGCCGUGAAGCGAGCCACCUGGGAAGUACGGCCGCAAGGCUGAAACUUAAAGGAAUUGGCGGGGGAGCAC
rnacentral:rRNA from 1 species